GGGCUCAGUCCCACAUCCCACAUUACCCUGGGAUCAUGACCUGAGCCGAAAGAAGACGCUUAAUAACAGCCACCCAGGCGCCCUGGCAGCUGGGUUUUAAAGGUGAGCAUCCCAAAAGAGAGACUGAUAGAAGCUGCUCUUCUAACCUUGCCUUGGAAGUUACAGAGUGUGGCCACAAGUAGGAUCUCCUGGAUUUUUCUUUUUCUUUUUUAAUGAGCCUUGUAGCAUUAUAUGCAAUGAAAUGCCUACAGCCCAGGCUGCCACCUUGACUCACUACGGGUUUGGGAGAGAUUUUGAGACAGAUGUACCAGCUAAAUGGCCCAGAUUUGUGAUCCACAGAAACUGUGAGAUAAUAUUUGUUAUUUUAAGUCACUAAGUUUUGGGGUAAACUUAGCAAUAACCAAUUAGCUAAAGAGAAGUGAGAGAGCCUUGAAUAGUGUUGAGUCAUUGUGCUUCUCCUUAUACGCUUGACUUGGCAAGCUUGUCCAUGCCCAUAAUUUCAAUAAUGCUGUGCAGGGACUCCCAGAUUUGUAUCUCCAUCCCAGAACUCUCUUGUGAACUACAGACUUUUACAUCUAGCAGCCUGCUAGACUUCUGUACUUGGCAGUUCCACAGACACUUCUCAUUCAGCUUAUCAAAAAUUGAACUUGUAAACCGUGGACUUUGGGUGAUAAUGAUGUGUCUCAAGCUGCCACUGCCUAUCUCUGUUGAAAACCUCCCGAGUCCCCUCAGGGCUGCUGCUGACCCAGGAGCAAAGAAUAUGCUCUUCGCUCUCAAAGCUUCCUGCAGCCUGGGUCAUCUGGCUUUUACAGAUAAUGGAGUGUGUUGUUUGGUUAUAUAAACUGUCAAUUUUAUUAUGAAGGAUCUUUGUUUAGAAAGAUCUAGUUUUUUAAUCUGCAAAUAAAAAGUACUAAAGGGAAAUGCA